GGACUGAAGGGUGUGGAGAAGGUUGCUCAUUGUGCAGUCUUGAAAGGUUGGGGCACAUGGUUUGAAGGUUUGGAGGAAUCUUAUAUUGGUUCAUAUGGCAUCAAACUUUCAUGUAUGAGUAUAAAAAUGGGCAAAUGGACCUUGACACUGGGUAGAUGCUUUUGGCGGCCUUAAACAACACUUUUCA